CUGGGAAUCCCGCGCAGCUGGAAGGACCAGAACUUUUUGUGCAGCUCUGGCUCGCAGACAGGGACGUUCUCCGCUGGCAAGCAGGGUUUGAAGACUCACAGGUGAGAAAGGUAUGUAUCUAGGGAAGAAGACAUCCAGCUGUGUCUCUAAGAAGAACUCUCAUGAUUGGUGAACUUGGUAGCUGGGAAGCUACAUAGAACCUGAAAGGGUGGUCUGUCAGAACUGUCUUAUGGUCAACUGCCAUGAACCAUAAAAGAAGAAAAGGUCACAGUUUCUCAUUAAAACACAUCAAAAGGAAACCGGGUAGUUAUAGUCAUUACUGAGGAUGUUUGUGUGAACAUGCAUGAACCACCUGCCCAGGAGUACAGUGACAAUCUUGGUGAUGGCAUGGAAGAAGGGAAUGUGUGUCUAAGAGUGAGGAACAGUGAAUUGGUGGGUAGGCUUAUGAACUGUAAUUGCUUGGCUCACAGACUGUUGCUGAUGCAGGCAAGGGUGGCCAGCCAUGUUGGAUGCUGUCACUGCUGUGGGAAAAGAUGGUGCCUUCAAUUCAAGACAUUCAAGAACCUCCCCAAUGAAGGUUUCAACUUGUGAAAAUGGAAAUUCAGUAGAAAAGAGAGAACCUGCAUUGAACAUGCUACUACUAAAAAACAAUCAUAUAGUGAAGUAUUUUCAAAGUUCAGUUGAGUUGGCAUAUAUACUGCACUACUGC
rnacentral:lncRNA from 1 species